rnacentral:rRNA from 1 species
GACGUAGGGCGCGAGCGUUGUCCGGAUUUAUUGGGCGUAAAGAGCUCGUAGGCGGCUUGUCGCGUCGUCCGUGAAAACCUGCAGCUCAACUGCAGGCUUGCGGUCGAUACGGGCAGGCUAGAGUUCGGUAGGGGAGACUGGAAUUCCUGGUGUAGCGGUGAAAUGCGCAGAUGUCAGGAAGAACACCAAUGGCGAAAGCAGCUUUCUGGGACGGUACUGACGCUGAGACGCGAAAGCGUGGGGAGCGAACAGA